rnacentral:lncRNA from 1 species
CAAAAAUGACAAAGUUCAACUAUCUCUCAUUAGAGCAAAUAUUAAUAAAGAUCAAAACCCUGACCACAUGCAGACAGCAAAGUACGUUCUAGGAUUCAAACUAGAUGUUUUACGGAAAAACUAUAAACUAUAAAGGGGGACGGACGGACGGAAGGACGGGCGGUCAGACGGAAUGACGGACGGACAGAUGUACAGGGGUAGUUGAGGGGGCAUAAAAAAUAUAGCUUCAAUUACAUCUUUUAUUGCGUCAACUUGUAUACAGUAACC